rnacentral:rRNA from 1 species
GGGAGGCAGCAGUGAGGAAUAUUGCACAAUGGGCGCAAGCCUGAUGCAGUAACGCCGCGUGCGGGAAGAAGGCCUUCGGGUCGUAAACCGCUUUUCGGGGGGACGAGACAGGACGGUACCCCCGGAAUCAGUCUCGGCUAACUACGUGCCAGCAGCCGCGGUAAAACGUAGGAGGCGAGCGUUAUCCGGAUUCACUGGGCGUAAAGCGCAUGUAGGUGGUUCGUUAAGUAGGUAGUGAAAGCCCCCGGCUCAACUGGGGGAGGUCUGCCUAAACUGGCGGACUUGAGGUUCCGAGAGGCAGGUGGAAUUCCCGGUGUAGCGGUGGAAUGCGUAGAGAUCGGGAGGAACACCAGUGGCGAAAGCGGCCUGCUGGCGGAAUUCUAACACUGAGAUGCGAAAGCGUGGGUAGCAAACGGGAUUAGAUACCCGUGUAGUCCC